rnacentral:pre_miRNA from 1 species
CGAUGAUGAUGACGGUGAUGUUGUUGAUGGUGAUGAUGAUGCUGUUCUUCAUCAUAAUCAUCAUCAUCAUCAACAACGACAUCAUCAUCAUAAUCU